AAAUCCUUUUUAUUUACACAUUUCAAUUACAGUGCAUAUGUUGAAAAACACAGUAAACUGGUUCAGUUUAUAAGCAUGGAAAUCACGAAUCACAUAUUUGUAAAGCACAAGAAAAGAAAUGGCGUACAAAAUGCACAAAGAUUACCUCUCAUAACAUGAGUUGUAAAAUUAUUGGGCUAGCAAACACUGUCAAAACAUGAGGCCAUAAUCACUCCCCAUCCCUACCCACUCCCACUGAGUCACUAGCAGGACAGAUCUUGCUUCAUUUGUCCCAGCAAAGAUAUCACAGUCCAUAUUAAGCAGAACACAUUGGAACAGCAUUUCUGGUUCAAUAUAGGCAUAUCCAGCAUUUCACAACAUUACAGGUUAGGAAGGAUCACACUCAGUUAACAGUAAGCAAGGUUUCACAAGUCUGACACUACUACUACACCACAACUAUUACCAAGCUACUACUACCACUCAAAGCAUACUAGAAGAACCUGGGAAAAGGAAAAGAUUAGUAGUAAGGGGAUCUGCUGGAACAGUUCACAGGUACUAUUUCCCUUUAGAGAGAAG